CCGGGGACCCGGAGACCCGCACAGACCCUUGGCCGCGGCCCUCCCCAGAGACCCCGAGACCCGCCCCCAGCCCUCCUCAAGUCACAGACUCUCCCCGGCACCCCAGAGACACCCUCAGACCCCAGGGACGCCAGAGACCUCGACCCCGCCUGCCGGGGACCUCGGGGCUCCUCAGAGACCCUCCCCAAGCCCUCCUCAGCCCACAGAUUCCUUCAGGGACCCCAGAGACACCCUCAGACCCCAGGGACUCCGGACACCCCGACCCCGCCUGCCAGAGACCCCCACAGACCCUGGGACCCCGGCCCUCCUCGGAGACCCUCCCCCAGGCCUCGUCAGCCCACAGAUUCCCUCAGGGACCCCAGAGACACCCUCAGACCCCAGGAACUCCGGAGACCCCGACCCCGCCUGCCCGGGACACCGGCCCUCCUCAGAGACCCUGGAGACCCUCCCCCUCAGCCCUCAGGCCAUAGACUCCCCCCUGGGACCUCAGAGACACCCUCAGACUCCAGGGACUCCGGAGACCCCAACCCCACCUGCUGGGGACCCCCACAGACCCUGGGCCCCCAGCCCUCCUCAGAGACCCCCAAAGACCCCGAGACCCCGGCCCUCCUCAGAGACUCGAGACACCCACAGACCCUGGGCCCCCUCCCGCCGGCCCUCUUUAGUCCACAGACCCCUCCUUGGAGACCCCAGUGCACCCCACUAACUCUGGCCAGGGACCCCAAGACCCUCUUAGCCUGCAAGCCCCACUUAUCUUCCUCCCCUUCCUUAGCCCAGCCACCCCCUCAAUGUGCAGACCCAGGCCCCCUGGCUUUCGCAGCCUGGAGGACCCAGCACCCCCACCGGGUCAGCCUAGACUCCAGUCCCCAGCCCUAGACCCUCCCUGGGCCCCCUGGCCCUCCACAGCCUCCCCUCCUCAGUGCCUCACCCUCAAGGCCCAGUCCUACAUUUGAGGUCCCUGGUGUUCCUCCCCACCCCCAAAACACACCCUCCUCACCUUCAGCCCCAAUGCCCCAUUCCCACUCCUUAUCCUUAUCCCUCUUCUUCAGCCCCACGUAUCCCAAGGGCCUCAACUCCCUCAGCCCCUGAAACCCACCGUAACAACUCUCUUCCCACACACCCUCCUCAAAUCCACCAUCUCAUAAAGCCCCUGCACUUAGAGGUGUCAGUCUCCUACCUGGCUCUCUUCCCUCCUUAAGUUCCCAAAUAAAUAUAUCCUGACACAUAGAUUAGUCCCUCCUUUUUAUUCUCAGACACCCCAGUUCUCAACUCUGGUUCCCUGGUCUUCCCUCUUCUCUGCUCAGGCCACCCCAUCCCUGAAGUCCCCUUAGCAUCUGAAAUACUGAUUCAUUGCUUAUCUCAGAGGGACCCCACAAGCCUCCAAAGGUCGCUCCCCAGCCCCUUAGUUUCCCAAGGAGAGACCCAAAAUAGUGGUACUUUGUUUUUUGUUUUUUUUGUUUUGUUUUGUUUUGUUUGUUUUUGAGACAGAGCCUUGCUCUGUUCCCCAGGCUGGAAUGCGGUGGUGCGAUCUCUGCUCACUGCAACUUCCGCUUCCCAGCUUUAAGCGAUUCUCCUGCCUCAGCCUCCCGAGUAGCUGGGACUACAAGUGCAUGUGACACCAUGCCCAGCUAAUUUUUUUUUUUUUUUUUGAGGCGGAGUCUCGCUCUGUCACCCAGGCCGGAGUGCGGUGGCACAAUUUCAGCUCACUGCAACUUCCUCCUCCCAGGUUCAAGUGAUUCUCCUGUCUCAGCCUCCCCAGUAGCUGGGAUUACGGGCGCCUGCCACCACGCCCAGCUAAUUUUUUUGUAUUUUUAGUAGAGACGGGGUUUCGCCAUGUUGGCCAGGCUGGUCUUGAACUCCUGACCUCAGGUGAUCUGCCCGCCUUGGCCUUAAAUUAUUUUUUAAAGACAGGGUCUCACUCUGUCACCCAGGCUGGAGUGCAGUGGUGGGUGUGAUCAUAGCUCACUGUAGCUUGAACUCCCUGGGGGAUCCUCCCACGUCAGCCUCCCCAGUAGCUGAGAGUACAGAAUAAAAUACGCCCAGC
rnacentral:lncRNA from 10 species